UAGGGAAUUUUCCACAAUGGACGAAAGUCUGAUGGAGCAACGCCGCGUGCAGGAUGACGGCCUUCGGGUUGUAAACUGCUUUUAUGAGCGAUGAUAAUGACAGUAGCUCAAGAAUAAGGGUCGGCUAACUACGUGCCAGCAGCCGCGGUCAUACGUAGGACCCAAGCGUUAUCCGGAAUUACUGGGCGUAAAGAGUUGCGUAGGCGGCUUGUUAAGCAGAGCGUGAAAGCGUAUGGCUCAACCAUAUACACAUGUUUUGAACUGGCAAGCUAGAGUAUGAGAGAGGUUACUGGAAUUCCAAGUGUAGGAGUGAAAUCCGUAGAUAUUUGGAGGAACACCGAUGGCGUAGGCAGGUAACUGGCUCAUUACUGACGCUCAGGCACGAAAGCGUGGGGAGCAAACGGG
rnacentral:rRNA from 1 species